GAUGAACGCUGGCGGCGUGCCUAAUACAUGCAAGUCGAGCGAACGGACGAGAAGCUUGCUUCUCUGAUGUUAGCGGCGGACGGGUGAGUAACACGUGGAUAACCUACCUAUAAGACUGGGAUAACUUCGGGAAACCGGAGCUAAUACCGGAUAAUAUUUUGAACCGCAUGGUUCAAAAGUGAAAGACGGUCUUGCUGUCACUUAUAGAUGGAUCCGCGCUGCAUUAGCUAGUUGGUAAGGUAACGGCUUACCAAGGCAACGAUGCAUAGCCGACCUGAGGGGGUGAUCGGCCACACUGGAACUGAGACACGGUCCAGACUCCUACGGGAGGCAGCAGUAGGGAAUCUUCCGCAAUGGGCGAAAGCCUGACGGAGCAACGCCGCGUGAGUGAUGAAGGUCUUCGGAUCGUANAACUCUGUUAUUAGGGAAGAACAUAUGUGUAAGUAACUGUGCACAUCUUGACGGUACCUAAUCAGAAAGCCACGGCUAACUACGUGCCAGCAGCCGCGGUAAUACGUAGGUGGCAAGCGUUAUCCGGAAUUAUUGGGCGUAAAGCGCGCGUAGGCGGUUUUUUAAGUCUGAUGUGAAAGCCCACGGCUCAACCGUGGAGGGUCAUUGGAAACUGGAAAACUUGAGUGCAGAAGAGGAAAGUGGAAUUCCAUGUGUAGCGGUGAAAUGCGCAGAGAUAUGGAGGAACACCAGUGGCGAAGGCGACUUUCUGGUCUGUAACUGACGCUGAUGUGCGAAAGCGUGGGGAUCAAACAGGAUUAGAUACCCUGGUAGUCCACGCCGUAAACGAUGAGUGCUAAGUGUUAGGGGGUUUCCGCCCCUUAGUGCUGCAGCUAACGCAUUAAGCACUCCGCCUGGGGAGUACGACCGCAAGGUUGAAACUCAAAGGAAUUGACGGGGACCCGCACAAGCGGUGGAGCAUGUGGUUUAAUUCGAAGCAACGCGAAGAACCUUACCAAAUCUUGACAUCCUUUGACAACUCUAGAGAUAGAGCCUUCCCCUUCGGGGGACAAAGUGACAGGUGGUGCAUGGUUGUCGUCAGCUCGUGCCGUGAGAUGUUGGGUUAAGUCCCGCAACGAGCGCAACCCUUAAGCUUAGUUGCCAUCAUUAAGUUGGGCACUCUAAGUUGACUGCCGGUGACAAACCGGAGGAAGGUGGGGAUGACGUCAAAUCAUCAUGCCCCUUAUGAUUUGGGCUACACACGUGCUACAAUGGACAAUACAAAGGGCAGCGAAACCGCGAGGUCAAGCAAAUCCCAUAAAGUUGUUCUCAGUUCGGAUUGUAGUCUGCAACUCGAUUACAUGAAGCUGGAAUCGCUAGUAAUCGUAGAUCAGCAUGCUACGGUGAAUACGUUCCCGGGUCU
rnacentral:rRNA from 1 species